CACAUGCAAGUCGAACGAAGGCUUCGGCCUUAGUGGCGCACGGGUGCGUAACGCGUGGGAAUCUGCCCUUGGGUUCGGAAUAACAGUUGGAAACGACUGCUAAUACCGGAUGAUGUCGCGAGACCAAAGAUUUAUCGCCCAGGGAUGAGCCCGCGUCGGAUUAGGUAGUUGGUGGGGUAAAGGCCUACCAAGCCGACGAUCCGUAGCUGGUCUGAGAGGAUGAUCAGCCACACUGGGACUGAGACACGGCCCAGACUCCUACGGGAGGCAGCAGUGGGGAAUAUUGGACAAUGGGCGAAAGCCUGAUCCAGCAAUGCCGCGUGAGUGAUGAAGGCCUUAGGGUUGUAAAGCUCUUUUACCCGGGAUGAUAAUGACAGUACCGGGAGAAUAAGCUCCGGCUAACUCCGUGCCAGCAGCCGCGGUAAUACGGAGGGAGCUAGCGUUGUUCGGAAUUACUGGGCGUAAAGCGCACGUAGGCGGCUUUGUAAGUCAGGGGUGAAAGCCUGGAGCUCAACUCCAGAACUGCCUUUGAGACUGCAUCGCUUGAAUCCGGGAGAGGUGAGUGGAAUUCCGGGUGUAGAGGUGAAAUUCGUAGAUAUUCGGAAGAACACCAGUGGCGAAGGCG
rnacentral:rRNA from 1 species